UAAGGAAGGCAGCAGGCCCGCAAAUUACCCACUCCCGGCACGGGGAGGUAGUGACGAAAAAUAACGAUACGGGACUCAUCCGAGGCCCCGUAAUCGGAAUGAGCACACUUUAAAUCCUUUAACGAGGAUCUAUUGGAGGGCCAGUCUGGUGCCAGCAGCCGCGGUAAUUCCAGCUCCAAUAGCGUAUAUUAAAGUUGUUGCGUUUAAAAAGCUCGUAGUCGGACUUGUGUCUCAGGCCUUUGGUUCACCGCUUGCCGGUGGUCACUGAAGAGCCUCGAGACGUCCUGCCGGUGAACUUAGUCUCAACUCGCUCCCCGAAGCAGAUUCUCUUCAUUGAGUGUCGCCUUGGGCCGGCAAAGUUACUUUGAACAAAUUAGAGUGCUUAAAGCAGGCCAAGUUUGCCUGAAUAUUCUGUGCAUGGAAUAUCGAAAGAGGACCUCGGUUCUAAUUCUUGUUGGUCUUAAGAACCAGAGGUAAUGAUCAAUAGGGACUGAUGGGGGCAUUAGUAUUGCGACGUUAGAGGUGAAAUUCUUGGAUCGUCGCAAGACUGACUAAAGCGAAAGCAUUUGCCAAAAAUGUCUUCAUUGAUCAAGAACGAAAGUUAGAGGUUCGAAGGCGAUCAGAUACCGCCCUAGUUCUAACCAUAAACGAUGCCAACUUGCGAUCCGACAACGUUCUUAUGAUGACUUGUCGGGCAGCCCCCGGGAAACCUAAGUCUUUGGGUUCCGGGGGAAGUAUGGUUGCAAAGCUGAAACUUAAAGGAAUUGACGGAAGGGCACCACCAGGACUGGAGCCUGCGGCUUAAUUUGACUCAACACGGGAAACCUCACCAGGCCCGGACACUGUAAGGAUUGACAGAUUGAGAGCUCUUUCUUGAUUCGGUGGGUGGUGGUGCAUGGCCGUUCUUCGUUGGUGGAGCGAUUUGUCUGGUUAAUUCCGAUAACGAACGAGACUCUAGCCUACUAACUAGGCGCUCGGCAUGAUAAAGGUCCGCCCGUGGAGCGAGACUUUUACUGCCGGCGCAAACAAAUGUCUUCUUAGAGGGACAAACGGUAUCCAACCGUACGAGAUUGAGCAAUAACAGGUCUGUGAUGCCCUUAGAUGUCCUGGGCCGCACGCGCGCUACACUGAAGGAAUCAGCGUGUUUUCUCUGGCCGAAAGGCUCGGGCAAUCCGUUGAAUCUCCUUCGUGCUAGGGAUUGGGGCUUGAAAUUCUUCCCCAUGAACGAGGAAUUCCCAGUAAGCGCGAGUCAUUAGCUUGCGUUGAUUACGUCCCUGCCCUUUGUACACACCGCCCGUCGCUACUACCGAUUGAAUGAUUUAGUGAGGUUUUCGGACUAGUACUCUGAGGCGCCUUGGCGUCUCGGAUGUUGCUGGGAAGAUUACCAAACUUGCUCAUUUAGAGGA
rnacentral:rRNA from 1 species